rnacentral:lncRNA from 1 species
AGUAAUUAAAGGUACAUCCCCACUAUAUAAAUACCACUAAUGUGUGAUCCAUCCGAUGUGGGACUUCCACUUUUUCAAUUCUCACUACACUAGUUCUACCCAUUAUGGGAAUUUGUGUUUAGUCAAUUACUCAAUUGAAUUUUUGUUUAGUCAAUUACUCAAUUUCCACAUAUGUUACAACAAUAAUUUACUUUUUUACAAAUAAACUAGUUACAAACCCG